UUUUGAUAUCUUUCAAGAUGUUUUUUCAAGCUAAAUGUAAUGUAAUUAUUUCAUUCGGAAUUCCUUGGUGCCAUGAUGUGGGCUUGGAUAGCAUUGUCAAGUGACUAUAGCAUAUGCUUCAUCUUCUUAUUCUGGCAUCUGUCAUCUGAUUAUAGAAACAUCACAAGAAGUCAGUGCUCACCGCCUCACCCACCCAGCCUCUACCAUCAUCUUCUAUCUGCUUCUCGAUGCUCAUCCAGCACCACCAGCGUCUGCUAUCUUCGCCGCUGCUCCUCUGUUUUGCAGCCUCUGAGCCGCGAACUCCAUCUUCACCUGGCCCUUGAACUCCCUUAACUUACACCACGAGGACCACGACUCCACCUUUUGCCUUCUUUGAUUCUGCCUGCUGCUCUUCUGCCCUGUGCUAUCCGGUUCUGCCCUAAUUUCCACCAUCUUCUAGGUUGUCUUUUGUUUUUUUUUCUGCCCCAUUUUGUUGUUUUUCCCUUAUCUCUUGAAUGGUUUAAUUGCUGCUGCUGCUGCUAGGUCCCAAUUCAGUUUGAUUAUAUCAAUUUAAUUCUUGCUAGAUGAUUGUGCUGAAUUUGUGGUUAAAUGGUUGCAUAUGGCAAUAACAAUUUUUUUUCUGUAAUUUUUACAGUUAUUUUGCUUCUA